CCAAUGUUCCCAUUUCAUUUGGUUCUGUUUUCUUCUUUCAUUCUCCAUGCCUUCACGCUUUGGACGAUUCAAAAAAUUAUAGUUAGGUUGCUGAAUCCUUUCUCUAUCCAUCGCUCAUCUAACGAUUGCAUUCAAGGUACCCAACUUCAAAGGAUGGCUUUUCACUAAGCCUCUGUCACCCUGAUAUGUAAAUGUAUCUAGCUGGAACAUCAUAUCAGUCUCUUUUUGAGGAUUAUGUAAGUUCUUAAACUUGGUCUUUUAUUGUUAAUGUUUCAUUGAUUAAGAUUAUUUAUUUCACUAUGUUUGAUUCCCUCUAGAUCUUUUUAUGAWAUGGGAUUUAUUUUACAUUCUUUUGUUGGUGGAUUCUAUGUUGAAGGAAGUAGUUUCUUUGUCGAUAGAACUGUUUUUUUUUUCACAAAGGAGGCAACUGUAUCUCCUAUUGCUGAUACAAAGGCAUGUUUUAUUGCAGGUUUUGGUAUAAUUUGUCCUUCUAGAUGGCCUCAUUGAUGAUGUCGUGUUCUUUAUCCCCUGAAUAAUCUUGAGACUAUCAACAACAUGAGAUACAUGUAAUAGACAUCUACCUCAUGUCAGACAUUUAUGCCAUGAGAUUUGUUGGUUCCUGCAUGUACAUACGAAGCAAGGGCUGCCAGGAUGGCUGUUAAUUGU